rnacentral:rRNA from 1 species
UGAGGAAUAUUGGUCAAUGGACGAGAGUCUGAACCAGCCAAGUAGCGUGCAGGAUGACGGCCCUAUGGGUUGUAAACUGCUUUUGUACGGGGAUAAAGUGAGCCACGUGUGGUUUAUUGCAGGUACCGUACGAAUAAGGACCGGCUAACUCCGUGCCAGCAGCCGCGGUAAUACGGAGGGUGCAAGCGUUAAUCGGAAUAACUGGGCGUAAAGGGCAUGCAGGCGGUUCAUCAAGUAGGAUGUGAAAUCCCCGGGCUCAACCUGGGAACAGCAUACUAAACUGGUGGACUAGAGUAUUGCAGGGGGAGACGGAAUUCCAGGUGUAGCGGUGGAAUGCGUAGAUAUCUGGAAGAACACCAAAGGCGAAGGCAGUCUCCUGGGCAAAUACUGACGCUCA